rnacentral:antisense_RNA from 1 species
GUGGGAGCGGGCUUGCUCGCGAAUGCGGUAUCGCAUUCAGCAUCAGUGUUGACUGACACACCGCAUUCGCGAGCAAGCCCGCUCCCAC